rnacentral:lncRNA from 1 species
AAACUACCAACAUAACAUAAUCACCUAGUAGUAGCCUCUUUUCUGAUGGUAGAUUUAAUUAGAUUCUGAAUAUUGCUUAAAUUGGAUUCCAAAUGUAACAUUUGAAAUUUAGAUCAAACUUUACCAAAUAAAUGCCGUGCUAACCCCUCAAGGCAUUUCUUUAGAUCCUCGACAGCAUACAAUGUGGCAUCAAUGCUUGAUGUCUCCCUGUCAGCCGGUGUAAAAACUCUAACACUUUCCAUCUAAACAUUGUACAUAGGAAGCAUCGAAGAUGAUACGACUUGAGAAUUGAAGUUAGACAGAAAAUCGUGGUCAAAUUAUCAGAUAUUAAUACAUACCUAAUGGAAUACAGGGUAAUGAGUUGAAUCAAUAGAAUCUCUGCGGUAUACAUAUCUAGUGAUGAGGAAAUGAGUAUGCCCUCCCCUCAGUAACUCGGCUUGGUAAGAACUAGUAUGGCACCUCAAGACAGUUUCAGAAUCCACAUAAUAUGUAUCAUUAUAACUCCUGCUUAUGUGAUCAGCAGGUAUCAAUACAUCAUCAAAGUUCUGCAAGAACAAGAUCAACUAUCAAAAUGCUGCAAUCAACCAACAAAUUCAAUAGACCAAUGUGGCAAUACAAGAUUAUCAAGCUUUGGCAUGAAGCUGAAGAAUAAGAACAUGUUAAUAGAUUGCCAUAAAAAGCUGCUGCACAUAUUGCAUAUGCUGGAAUAAAGGUGCUGAGCUAGUGAUAAAAAAAGACCAAGUCUAUAGGAUCUGUUAUUUCUGUUUUA